rnacentral:rRNA from 1 species
AGUGAACGCUGGCGGUAUGCCUAACACAUGCAAGUCGAACGGCAGCACAGUAAGAGCUUGCUCUUACGGGUGGCGAGUGGCGGACGGGUGAGGAAUACAUCGGAAUCUACUUUUUCGUGGGGGAUAACGUAGGGAAACUUACGCUAAUACCGCAUACGACCUACGGGUUAAAGCAGGAGAUCUUCGGACCUUGCGCGAUUGAAUUAGCCGAUGUCGGAUUAGCUAGUUGGCGGGGUAAAGGCCCACCAAGGCGACGAUCCGUAGCUGGUCUGAGAGGAUGAUCAGCCACACUGGAACUGAGACACGGCCCAGACUCCUACGGGAGGCAGCAGUGGGGAAUAUUGGACAAUGGGCGCAAGCCUGAUCCAGCCAUACCGCGUGGGUGAAGAAGGCCUUCGGGUUGUAAAGCCCUUUUGUUGGGAAAGAAAAGCAGCAGGUUAAUACCCCGCUGUUCUGACGGUACCCAAAGAAUAAGCACCGGCUAACUUCGUG